rnacentral:tRNA from 1 species
GCCUGUAAGAUGUAGUGGUUUGAGUGUUAGACUAUGACUCUGCAGACCAGGGUUUGAAUCCCUGCUUGGCCA